rnacentral:rRNA from 1 species
AUGUAGGCUGGUUAUCCAGGCAAAUCCGGAUAAUCAAGGCUGAGGUGUGAUGACGAGGCACUACGGUGCUGAAGUAACAAAUGCCCUGCUUCCAGGAAAAGCCUCUAAGCAUCAGGUAACAUCAAUACGUACCCCAAACCGACACAGGUGGUCAGGUAGAGAAUACCAAGGCGCUUGAGAGAACUCGGGUGAAGGAACUAGGCAAAAUGGUGCCGUAACUUCGGGAGAAGGCACGCUGGUGUGUAGGUGAAGUCCCUGCGGAUGGAGCUGAGACCAGUCGAAGAUACCAGCUGGCUGCAACUGUUUAUUAAAAACACAGCACUGUGCAAACACGAAAGUGGACGUAUACGGUGUGACGCCUGCCCG